GGAUGCGUAUGGAGGGAAGAUACACGCGGGGACCAGCCAGGGACCCGAGCACAGAUGGAAGUGGAGGGGUUCGGUCAUGUGUGGACAGUAGCGGGGCUCCAUGGAAUGGGUAGUACGAAGUCCCGGAGGAAGCAAGGCCCAGGAGAAGUAAGGGACCCACGAAGGGCACAGGCCAGCUGCUCUGGCUGGGGACAGCAGCGGGUCGCGCGCCAAGCAGAACGGGACCUUAAAGCUCGGCGAAAAUGCCCUCGGCGCCGCGGGGACGGACAAGAUGGGGGAGGUGCCCCCACAGUGCGCCAGCGGGGUGGGUUCAGCUCCCGAAGGAAAGCUCCGGCCUCCUCCCGGAGCUGGAGGGUGGAUUCGAGCUCGGGAAUUCGGGGUGGCCUGGAUCCCCGAAUGCUUUCAACUUUUUUUGUGGUAGUCUAGGGGUUCUUGGAGGCCUUGGUUAGAAAACUCUCCUUCCCGGCCGCUGCGCACACUCAGAACGCGGCGCGCUGCGUAAUCAAGCCGCAGCCCAGCCGC
rnacentral:lncRNA from 1 species